ACUCGUCUGACCCUUCUUCACGAUGAAACCCUCUCCCGAGCGUCCCUCUCCCUCCCGAGCACGGCGGCGCACAACAAUUCCCUGACCCUCGCAUGAUAAGGCCCCGCGCGUUUUCUUCCCCUCCCUCCAGUUGCGACCGAACGAAGGCGGAGAUGCAUGCUCGUUGUGUGGCAUAUAUGUGGCUUCACCGGGCUUGGGGAGCACUAGAUAUGUGGCUUCACCGAGCAAACGAACCGGACUUGCGGAGCACUAGAUGCAGGCGCGGGCGCGGGCGCGGCUUCGCCGAUGACGGCCCCUCGUGCAGCGUGUGCCACGCUGCAACGCGCUGUCCCCUUUCUCCGCUCUCCUCGCCCCCUAUUCGUCAGCAUGGGCACCACACAGUAGAGUAGCAGCCUGCAGUUCCUGCCGUGCUCCUAACGACCCGCCUCCUCGUGUUGAUCCGAAUCACAGGAACCAUGCAGGAACGUUCGGUUGUAGUGGAACAUGAACUCAUAGGCAAACAACUUGAGCGUUGAAAACUUUUGGCAUAAGACUUGAUAAGGUAACCUACCCUCAGUCUCUUCAUAUAAUCAAAUUCAAGUUAAGAGGGGAACUGACAGAGUAUGCUUCGUUCAGUGCUAAUUUAGACCUUAUUAUAUAGGUAGGCUUUACAUCAGUUUCAUAAUCAUGGAGAAGUGCGCUGUACAUGAACUUAUUAAGAUGCUUACCUGAAGAAUGCAGAGAAAUAAUAUUUUCCAGGACAUAGAUAAUGCUCAAUCUACCUCAUCGAUUGUAUGAAGUGUUUUUCAGUAAGUUAUCCUUGAAAUAUGACAAGCGCAUCUUUAAGUUCUGUCCUUCACCAUCAUAUAUAUCCUCUCCUAGGUUCAUGGAACUUGAAAUUUGUUUCCAUCAGUUUUUUUUUCAAAAUUAGCAUGUUCAUUUUCUGUAGGUUCUCACCAUCAAAGGAAAUUUAACAAUUUAAACAUAUUAUGUCCUCUGUUCGAUUCAUAGUCUAUUGGCUGCACGUUCUAGCACUAUUCUUAGGCGAGUGAAAUAUAUUUAUGAAGCAGAAGGCAAUCGAGAAUUUUUCUUAUGAUCAAAACUCAUGAUUUUGCUCAUGUCAAUGCACUAAAUAAUACACUGAUUAAAGUAGGCAUUUUUAGGAAUUUUACAUAUAUCAUUGAUCCCUGCUCUUGGACAUAGUAUAUAUUAGUUGAUUUUCUGGUUACCCAUAUACUUAAUGCCGGGCAUCUUCCUAUUCCAGCAUGAGCUUCAUAUUUGCUGGAAAGGAAAUAUCAUACAUAUAUUAGGUAAAUUGUUUACGCAUUACAUAAGUUGUUGAUUUACUUCUACAAUUUAUCACCCAUUGUGACGUUGCACUGGACAUGGGAUUAAAUUGGUCCUUCCAAUAUAGUCAGUCACUUAGUCAUACAUUAAUUGAUUUAUUUUUACAAUUUAUCACCUGUUAUUGCUGUGCAUGCAGUUUAUAUUUAUGUCUACACAUUAUAAGGUUGCACUGGUCAUGAGAUUAAAUUGGUCCAAUAUGGUCAGUCACUACUUAGUCAUUUACAUGGUGGGAACAUCCUGAUCCAUGCAUACUGGACAAGGAUAUUAACCUAUGGGUGCUAAUUGCCAAGAUUCAUCUCAGAAAUCUUCUCUUAUCCAAGAUAACCUGUUUUUUUUACCAGAUAUCCAAGAUAACCUGUUAUGUUAAAUUUCCCCAAAGCAUGUCAAAUAGCCUGAAUUAGUGUCACCCUGGUUAUGUGGCAUUGUAUUUAGAAAAUUCUCUACAAAUUAUAAAGGUUUUGGCUAUAACAAGCUGUAUGUAAAGACAUUACUGGGAGCUUCUAAAAACACUUGCAUAAAUAUACCUUGUUAGCUUGUUUCCUUUUUAUCACAAGCAAUGCUAGGUUAGUUGUGAUGGUCGUGUGGAUCUCCCAGCAGGAAGGAUUUAGAUAGGAAGCUGCUGUGGUGCUGUUUCUGUUAUGGUUUUCUUCUGCCACUAUUGUAGUUUCUUUUUGCUUAUAUAUUGUAUGUGCUACAGUUUCACUUCAGUUACUUAAUGAAUGCAAAGUUGUUCAUUCAGUUGUUAUCAAUUAUUUCUUUUGGAAUGAGCUUACACCUGCCAAGUGAUUAGGAUGUAUAAGGCAUGGAUCAGCAAAUAUUUAGUCAUAUAAUUUAUGUUCAUAGAAUGAAAACUUUAUGCUUGGUGAGAAUUUAGUUUGUACUAUUUGUCAAGAGUAGUUCACUACUACAGAACAGACCAGCCAAGCCGCGUAUGGCAGGCCCUCAUGUUAGGUGGGCUGGCCCCGGAAAGAAUCAGAGAUGUGCCGCAGGGCAAAAAAAGUCCGCUGUGAUUUGUGCAGAUCUUUGCUGACAAAUCGCAGGUUAUGAUUUCACCUUUGAAUGGUUAGAGUAACCUGAUGGUGAAUGAAACCUCAUGACAUUUAUCUUAGCUGGGCAUGCCGAGAGGGUCACUAUGGAGUGCAUGAAACCACAUGACAUAAUGUUCAGCAUAACCAUGUGCCUUGUAUUUGUUUUUUCUGUUUUCUGUUUUCUUUUCUUUGUACAAAUAAACUAAUUGCCAACUUAUUUAUUACACCUUUAUAAUAAUGACGGGAAGGCUAACUUGUUAGCCGUUAUAGGA